rnacentral:lncRNA from 1 species
UCCCACACUAACUCUAGUGUCCACUUUACCAUUUCGAAUGCCACUCGAUCUAUGUUCAACAUGCAUAUAUUUUGUCAUCCAUUGGUAGUCAUUACUUAGCAUUUUAUGCAUUCGUUAACAUUUACUACAUGCAUUCUCGGUUAGUACAAAUCUCAUACUUUCAUUUGACAUCUAUUUAGCAUUUCUAUAAUAUGCACAUAUAAAUUAACAUCAACUCAUGCAUUCAUUUGGCAUCUAUCUUUAUCAUGCAUUCUUAAUUAGCAUACUUUAUCAUGCAUUCUCAAAUAGCAUACUUUAAUCUUUAUCAUGCAUUCUUAAAUAGCAUACUUUAUCAUGCGUCAAUAGUAAACAUACUACACUUUAGCAUGGAAAGCGACCUAAUCGCUUCGGUGAGCACAACCCACCUCAUUUCGCAUUCCGAUUGCUUGUCGACACUUGCAAUCGGCCUCCCGCGGCACCCGUAACCCGGUUUGGCCCGAUCUCUCACGCGACCACCCGAACGGCCUCCAAUUCACGAUCCGAAAAUUAAAGGUCUUCGGUUAUGUGCCACGAAGCUUCAAAUCCAUUUUCAUGAAUUUACGAUAUCGCCUCGGCCCUCCCGGCGGACCCGAAGCCUAAACGUCCGUUUCUUUAAUAACUUCGCAACGGCUCGUCGGAUUGCCGAACCGUCUUCGCCAACGCGUUCGUUUACCUAGCAAUUAGGUUUAUAUAGGGUCAAUUUAGAUCAAACCCUUACAUUUUACAAAACCCCAUUCGGAGCCCUAAUAUGCUAUUAACCUCAAAAUAAUCCAAAAUUAAAUGGAUCAACAUGCUAACAAAGCUCAUUAGAGGCUAUUAGAAUACUUAAAGCUAAGGAUUAAGCCAAAUCCUAAAAGCUUACCUCAAUGUGAACGCCGCGACGACAACACACCGCUCCAACGGGCGCACGAAAGCUCAAUCCGUCGCCUCCAACGCGUUCGCAAGCAUAUUCUCCACCAACCCCGCGAAUUUGAGCGAGAGAUAUAGAGAAAUGAGAGAGAUCUCUAGAGAGAGAAAGGAGAGUUUCUCUCCUCUCUCCAUGUGUGCGUGAGGUGUGUGUGGGUGUGCACGGCUGAAGGAGGAAGAAGAAGCAUCAUGCUUCUAUUUAAUUACACCCCAACACUAUUCACCUCCAGGCAGCUUAAAAUCUGAUAACUUUCGCCGGAGCUCCCUGAAUCUCCGUUUGAGCUCAAACUUGACAGUCAUGUUCGGUUUUACUUAACUUAACAAGCUGACGAUCACUGGUUCAGUUUCGACCCCGUUUGGUCACUGAAAACUGUACCGAACUGCAAUCUUUAUCAGAUAGCUUUCGGAUUUUAUUUCUCACUCUAUGGGUGUCAGAAAAAUAUGAAACCUUAAAUCUAGCCUCAUAAAAAUAUUUCUGACAUCUCCG